rnacentral:rRNA from 1 species
GAUGAACGCUGGCGGCGUGCUUAACACAUGCAAGUCGAACGGAAAGGCCAGUGCUUGCCCUGGUACUCGAGUGGCGAACGGGUGAGUAACACGUGGGUGAUCUGCCCUGCACUUCGGGAUAAGCCUGGGAAACUGGGUCUAAUACCGGAUAGGACAAUGGUUUGGAUGCCGUUGUGGAAAGUUUUUUCGGUGUGGGAUGAGCUCGCGGCCUAUCAGCUUGUUGGUGGGGUAAUGGCCUACCAAGGCGUCGACGGGUAGCCGGCCUGAGAGGGUGUACGGCCACAUUGGGACUGAGAUACGGCCCAGACUCCGACGGGAGGCAGCAGUGGGGAAUAUUGCACAAUGGGCGCAAGCCUGAUGCAGCGACGCCGCGUGGGGGAUGACGGCCUUCGGGUUGUAAACUCCUUUCGCUAGGGACGAAGCGUAUUUGUGACGGUACCUGGAGAAGAAGCACCGGCUAACUACGUG